rnacentral:tRNA from 1 species
GAGAGUAUAGCUCAUUGGUAGAGUCCAUGCCUAGCAUGCAGGGGGUCCUGGGUUCAAUUCCCAGUGCCUCCA